AUUGAACGCUGGCGGCAGGCCUAACACAUGCAAGUCGAACGAGUGGCGGACGGGUGAGUAAUGUCUGGGAAACUGCCCGAUGGAGGGGGAUAACUACUGGAAACGGUAGCUAAUACCGCAUACCAUCGGAUGUGCCCAGAUGGGAUUAGCUAGUAGGUGGGGUAACGGCUCACCUGGGCGACGAUCCCUAGCUGGUCUGAGAGGAUGACCAGCCACACUGAAACGGAGACACGGUCCAGACUCCUACGGGAGGGAGCAGUGGAGAAUAAUGCACAAUGGGCGAAAGCCUGAUGCAGCCAUGCCGCGGGUAUGAAGAAGGCCUUCGGGUUGUAAAGUACUUUCGGCGAGGAGGCGUUACUCGCAGAAGAAGCACCGGCUAACUCCGUGCCAGCAGCCGCGGUAAUAC
rnacentral:rRNA from 1 species